UCCCUGGUGGUCUGGUGGCUAAGACUUUGUGCCCCUAAUGUGGGGGACCCAGGUUCGAUUCCUGGUCUGGGAA
rnacentral:tRNA from 1 species